rnacentral:rRNA from 1 species
AUUCAACGCUGGCGGCAGGCCUAACACAUGCAAGUCGAGCGGAUGAAGGGAGCUUGCUCCUGGAUUCAGCGGCGGACGGGUGAGUAAUGCCUAGGAAUCUGCCUGGUAGUGGGGGAUAACGUCCGGAAACGGGCGCUAAUACCGCAUACGUCCUGAGGGAGAAAGUGGGGGAUCUUCGGACCUCACGCUAUCAGAUGAGCCUAGGUCGGAUUAGCUAGUUGGUGGGGUAAAGGCCUACCAAGGCGACGAUCCGUAACUGGUCUGAGAGGAUGAUCAGUCACACUAGAACUGAGACACGGUCCAGACUCCUACGGGAGGCAGCAGUGAGGAAUAUUGGACAAUGGGCGAAAGCCUGAUCCAGCCAUGCCGCGUGUGUGAAGAAGGUCUUCGGAUUGUAAAGCACUUUAAGUUGGGAGGAAGGGCAGUAAGUUAAUACCUUGCUGUUUUGACGUUACCAACAGAAUAAGCACCGGCUAACUUCGUG